UAUUUUAUUUUUUUUAUAAUUGUUUUUAACUCUGGUUUUUCUUUUAUGAUUUAACAAAAAAUAUACACAGCUAGAAAACUAGGAAAUAGAAAACUUGAAUAAAUACAUAUUUGUUAACUGUACAGAGCAUUACGAAUUAGUUGUUAGGGUUUUUUUGUUGUUGUUUUUGUUUGUUUUAUUUAUACAUAUUAAAUUAGA